rnacentral:lncRNA from 1 species
GCAUUGACCAACCAAGGUUCAAAAACCCAAAAUUAACAUGAUCUUUGAUACAUGUCUGUUUCGUCGUCGUAAGCCUUUAGCAACAUAGUUCAAAACCGGCUGCAACAAUGGACUUCCACCCAUCAUCGCAAUACAUAGCACCCCGGAAUUCAAGCUUCCAUCAUCAACAAUUGCAAUGUAAAUAAUGAACCUGCACAAAUCUACAUAAUGAAACCAAGUCCAUUGUAAACUCCAUAACAGAAUAACGACAGCAUGCCAAAACAGAGGUAUUACUAUAAAGUUACGGCGGCAUUAAAGUCCUGCAAGUAUACCACUUACAGCAUGUGCAUUUGGCAGUAGUUCACACCAAGUUUCAUCUUGCAAAUGACUGCACCGGCAAGUCUUCAUUUUGGAUUUUAGCCAACAAUUCCAGGACAAGCAAAACUAGACCUAAGUGCAAACCGUACAACCUGCUCAUACAAUCUUUUCACCUGCAUUGCAAUGGACUUUCUUUUGAUUACUCACUUGGCAGCUUGGAAGAGUUAACAAUAACAAGUUUUUUUUUUAACAUUUCAUGAUUCCAUUCAAUUGUAACCGCUAACAAGUUGC